rnacentral:rRNA from 1 species
UACGUAGGGGGCAAGCGUUAUCCGGAAUUACUGGGCGUAAAGGGUGCGUAGGCGGUUUAUCAAGUCAGGGGUGAAAGGCUACGGCUCAACCGUAGUGAGCCUCUGAAACUGGUGAACUUGAGUGUAGGAGAGGAAAGUGGAAUUCCCAGUGUAGCGGUGAAAUGCGUAGAUAUUGGGAGGAACACCAGUGGCGAAGGCGACUUUCUGGACUACAACUGACGCUGAGGCACGAAAGCGUGGGGAGCAAACAGGAUUAGAUACCCUGGUAGUCCACGCUGUAAACGAUGAGUACUAGGUGUCGGCUGUCAAAGGUCGGUGCCGGCGUUAACACAUUAAGUACUCCGCCUGGGGAGUACGCUCGCAAGAGUGAA